GCAUGGUUGCAUGUGCACUGCCCAGAUGCAGAGUGUGGACUUUGCUCAGAAGCACAGCAUCUGUGAAGCUUUCGGAAAUUAUCCCUCUGGCUCCAGCCCUUUCUAGAGAUCUCCACGCACAUCUCUGCAUGAAGGUUUCACAGUCACUGGGUUUCCCAGGGCCUUCUCUUUGCUAGGAAUAUCUGAGACGCACUCUGCAAGAUGAGUUGGCAGCAUCUCUGUGCCUCUGGUUUUGCCAGGCUCCACCAACAACCCGCUAAGAACUCUUCACCCUCAAGUGCACUGAGGGGAACCCCAGUGAAGGCCAAUGAGGGAAACCACACAUCAUUGAGGGCCGACGGAGGCCCCCAAAGCCCAGAUCGCUAUGCUCCCCAGUAGGUCCCCAGACACCCUUAACACAGCUAUCUGCAGGAUUGAAUGAUUGCUGGGACCACACAAUUUACACUUGGCUCUCGUGGUCCGGAGGGGAGGACUGCGCCAGCAUGAGAAGACCAGAGAGCAAGUAAAUGGAAAUUUGGCGAGAUCCUGUGGCUGCUGUUGGUGGCUGCAGCCAGACAGGAAAACUGAGAUGGUGUGAGCAGAAAGGGCUGGAAGGAGUUGGCUUUUUCCAAGAAAUUACAGCGGAAUCUUCUUCCAAGAGGCUGGGGGCCUCUGCAGACAUGAUCUCAUUACUUACUCCCCAAAUCCCCCAGCUUCCCUACGGACCAAGGGCCAGGGGUCUCUGCCCAGUCCUAGCUCCAAGGAAACUCACACUUGGCAGAUUUUCCUAAUCGGAGCUGGCCUUGAAGUUUGCUCACUGAUAAUCACCAGAAAAUCACCCCAACAAUGGGUGAUGCCAGAGUGUCCUCAAGCUUCAAGGGUCCGUAAAAACACUUGACUCCCCCAGGACAAAAAUGACUGGGGGAGACACGCAGCUCUUCAAAGAGAACGGUUUCAUUCUGUACCAAA